CGGUCCCGACACCUAGGGGAGGCCCCCAAGGGGGAUAAUUGCCAAUGGGCCCCAGCCCGAUUGUAGUGAAGGCGCUUGGGGGAUGACGGCCUUCGGGUUGUAAACUCCUUUCAACCAUGACGAAGCUUUCGGGUGACGGUAGUGGUAGAAGAAGCACCGGCUAACUAC
rnacentral:rRNA from 1 species